rnacentral:rRNA from 1 species
CAGCUAGUUGGUAGGGUAAUGGCCUACCAAGGCGAAGAUCGGUAUCCGGCCUGAGAGGGCGCACGGACACACUGGAACUGAAACACGGUCCAGACUCCUACGGGAGGCAGCAGUGGGGAAUUUUGCGCAAUGGGGGAAACCCUGACGCAGCAACGCCGCGUGGAGGAUGAAGCCCCUUGGGGUGUAAACUCCUUUCGACCGGGAAAAUGAUGAUGGUACCGGUGGAAGAAGCACCGGCUAACUCUGUGCCAGCAGCCGCGGUAAUACAGAGGGUGCGAGCGUUGUUCGGAAUUAUUGGGCGUAAAGGGCGCGUAGGCGGUACGGUAAGUCACCUGUGAAACCUCUGGGCUUAACUCAGAGCCUGCAGGCGAAACUGUCGUGCUGGAGG